rnacentral:misc_RNA from 1 species
UACGAGUGCCCUAAGCGUUAUCCGGAAUUAUUGGGGGUAAAGGGUUCGUAGGGGGUUCUAUUGGUCUCUUGUUAAAGCUCCGGGCUCAACUGGGAAAAGGCGAGAGAAACGGUCGAUCUAGAAGAUGUGAGGGGUGUGCGGAACUCAUGGUGUAGGGGUGAAAUCCGUUGAUAUCAUGGGGAACACCAAAAGCGAAGGCAGCACACUGGCACAUUCUUGACGCUGAGGAACGAAAGCGUGGGUAGCGAAUGGG